CGGAAUCUUCGGAUUUAGUGGCGGACGGGUGAGUAACGCGUGAGAAUCUGCCUUCAGGACGGGGACAACAGUUGGAAACGACUGCUAAUACCCGAUAGGCUGGAAAGUGAAAGAUUUAUCGCCUGAAGAGGAGCUCGCGUCUGAUUAGCUAGUUGGAAGUGUAAAGGACUCCCAAGGCAACGAUCAGUAGCUGGUCUGAGAAGAUGAGCAGCCACACUGGGACUGAGACACGGCCCAGACUCCUACGGGAGGCAGCAGUGGGGAAUUUUCCGCAAUGGGCGCAAGCCUGACGGAGCAAUACCGCGUGAGGGAAGAAGGUCUUUGGAUUGUAAACCUCUUUUCUCAAGGAAGAAACAAAUGACGGUACUUGAGGAAUCAGCAUCGGCUAACUCCGUGCCAGCAGCCGCGGUAAUACGGAGGAUGCAAGCGUUAUCCGGAAUCAUUGGGCGUAAAGCGUCCGCAGGUGGCUAAUCAAGUCUGUUGUCAAAGACUGGGGCUUAACUCCGGGAAGGCAAUGGAAACUGAAGAGCUAGAGUCCGGUAGGGGUAGAAGGAAUUCCCAGUGUAGCGGUGAAAUGCGUAGAGAUUGGGAAGAACACCAGUGGCGAAAGCGUUCUACUGGACCGGAACUGACACUCAGGGACGAAAGCUAGGGUAGCGAAAGGGAUUAGAUACCCCUGUAGUCCUAGCCGUAAACGAUGGAUACUAGGCGUAGCUUGUAUCGACCCGAGCUGUGCCG
rnacentral:rRNA from 1 species